UUGAUGUUUGGUUGAGUUUUUCCUAUUCGUCCUUUGGCGUCUAGUCGUGGUUUCUCUUCCUAUUCAUCGUCUUUCGAUGUCUAGUCGUGGUUUCUUUCUCCCAUUCAUCCGUUGAUGUCUGGUUGAGUCCUUCCUAUUCGUCCUUUAUCGUGGUUUCUCUUCCUAUUCAUCGUCUUUCGAUGUCUAGUCGUGGUUUCUUUCUCCCAUUCAUCCGUUGAUGUCUGGUUGAGUCCUUCCUAUUCGUCCUUUGGCGUCUAGUCGUGGUUUCUCUUCC
rnacentral:lncRNA from 1 species